GAUGAAGAACGUAGCGAAAUGCGAUACGUAAUGUGAAUUGCAGAAUUCAGUGAAUCAUCGAGUCUUUGAACGCACAUUGCGCCCCCUGGUAUUCCGGGGGGCAUGCCUGUCCGAGCGUCAUUGCUGCCCUCAAGCACGGCUUGUGUGUUGGGCUCCGUCCCCCCGGGGACGGGCCCGAAAGGCAGCGGCGGCACCGAGUCCGGUCCUCGAGCGUAUGGGGCUUUGUCACCCGCUCUGUAGGCCCGGCCGGCGCCAGCCGACAACCCAUCAUCCUUUUCAGGUUGACCUCGGAUCAGGUAGGGAUACCCGCUGAACUUAAGCAUAUCAAUAAGCGGAGGA
rnacentral:misc_RNA from 1 species